rnacentral:rRNA from 1 species
GGACUACUAGGGUAUCUAAUCCCGUUUGCUCCCCUGGCCUUCGCGCCUCAGCGUCAGGAACUGUCCAGAGACCCGCCUUCGCCACUGGUCUUCCUCACGAUCUCUACGCAUUUCACUGCUACACCGUGAAUUCCAGUCUCCUCUCCAGUCCUCAAGCAGAGCAGUAUCAAGUGCAUUUUCAGGGUUGAGCCCUGAGAUUUCACACCCGACUUACCCCGCCGCCUACGCGCCCUUUACGCCCAAUAAAUCCGAACAACGCUUGAGACCUCUGUAUUACCGCGGCGGCUGGCAC